GUGUCAGCCGCCGCGGUUAUACGUAGGGUGCGAGCGUUGUCCGGAUUUAUUGGGCGUAAAGAGCUUGUAGGCGGUUAGUCGCGUCGUAAGUGCAAACUCAGGGCUUAACCCUGAGCCUGCUUUCGAUACGGGCUGACUAGAGGAAGGUAGGGGAGAAUGGAAUUCCCGGUGGAGCGGUGGAAUGCGCAGAUAUCGGGAGGAACACCAGUGGCGAAGGCGGUUCUCUGGACCUUUCCUGACGCUGAGAAGCGAAAGCGUGGGGAGCAAACAGGCUUAGAUACCCUGGUAGUCCACGCCGUAAACGGUGGGUACUAGGUGUGGGGGACAUUCCACGUUCUCUGUGCCGUAGCUAACGCAUUAAGUACCCCGCCUGGGGAGUACGGCCGCAAGGCUAAA
rnacentral:rRNA from 1 species